AACAAUGAAUUAUAUUAAUUAACUAAACUUGAUUUGAACUAAAUACUUAUGUUAAUUAGAAUUAAGUAUUUUAGUUAAUCAAUUGAAAAAGAUUCAAUUAUUAAUUAAAAUGAUUAAUGUUAUUUAACCUAAUUAAUUAAAAUAUGUUUUAAUUAUUUAUUUAUUUAUAAUAACAAUAAAAAGGUAAUAAAUAUAAAAAAAGAAGAAAAAAAAACAAAAUAAAUAAAGUGCAAGAGAAAUAAAGGAGAGAUGAGAGAAAGUAAACAAAAAGGUAAUGGUCCAAAGUCCAAUUUAACUAAACACAAAGAAAUAAAAAAGAUGAUAAAAGCAAAAAAAAAUAAAAAGUGAGAAAAACUUCAUUUUGUCCACACUCUAAGUGCCAUAUGGCAGCGUAGGAUAAAAGGGAAAAAACAAGAUGUGCGGUCUAGAUUAAAUCUGGACUUAUUCAAGAAUAACAACAACAUUUAUACUUAUUUUGAUCAUAACUUACUCAAUCUUUCAUGAAAUUAAGCAAAUUAAUAAUGAAAAUUCAUCUACUCGAUCUCACGAAUAACAUAGAAUGUUUAGAAUUAAAAAAUAAGCAAUGAAUAAAAACGAAAAUUAAAUCACAUUUAAUCACUUUUGCUAAUGGAGGUUCAAAAACAC
rnacentral:lncRNA from 1 species